UUACAGCCACGACAGGCACCUGGAGUAGCUGCUACAGAGGAGGAGCUGGCACUGUGUUCGUAUGUUCACCUGAGCCUCACCGUGAAGAAACAUCAUCUAUUCAGACAGCAGCAGCACUUUUGCUGCUGAGAGACAGACGACAUGUAGAUCCAGGAUAAUGAAGCAGUAGCAGCAGACUCAAUGUUAAAAUCCAUCAACCUGAGGGCACAUCUUCAGCUUCAACAGAUGCCUGUGAAUCUAUCAAAGCUGCCCCCAUUGAUCCUGCUGACUGACUACACCAUUUAAAGGCCUACUGAAAUGAGAUUUUCUUACUUAAACGGGGAUAGCAGGUCCAAUCUAUGUGUCAUACUUGAUCAUUUUGCGAUAUUGCCAUAUUUUUGCUGAAAGGAUUUAGUAGAGAACAUCGACGAUAAAGUAUGCAACUUUUGGUCGCUAAUGAAAAAGCCUUGCCUUUACCGGAAGUAGCAGACGAUGUGCGCGUGACGUCACUGGUUGUAGGGCUCCUCACAUCCUCACAUUGUUCAUAAUGUGAGUCUCCAGCAGCAAGAGCUAUUCGGACCGAAAAAGCGACAAUUUCCCCAUUAAUUUGAGCGAGAAUGAAAGACUCGCGGAUGAGGAAAUUUAGAGUGACGGACUAGAAAAGUUUAAAUUUUUAUUUUAAUUUGUAUUUCUUAUUAUUUUUUUUUAUAAAUUUUUUAAAUUUUUUAUGUAUUAAUUAUUAUUAUUUUUGUUUUUGAUGUUGUUUUUUUUGUUUUUUCCCCCUCCCUCAGGGGGGGACUUCGACAGGGCGGUUGCUGGUUGUUCCAUCUCCAUUGUUGGGGUCCCUCCGGGUGGGGUGGGUGGUUCCCGCGGCCCUGCGCU